rnacentral:ncRNA from 1 species
CCCGCGCAUCGUCGGUGACAACGACAGGGUGCGCGGGGUUAUACCGGUACUGUGGGAUAGCUUGAAACACCGGGCGGGGCGGCGAGGCUAGCACCCCAGAGCGACAAGGCUGGCGGGU